rnacentral:rRNA from 1 species
ACUGACCUUAGUACGAGAGGACCGGGUUGGACGGACCACUGGUUUACCGGUUGUGGCGCCAGCUGCACCGCCGGGUAUCCACGUCCGGUCAGGAUAAGCGCUGAAAGCAUCUAAGCGCGAAGCCGUCUCCGGGAUUAGACUUCCAUGAGGGCCGUCGGAGACUACGACGUAGAUAGGCAGGAGAUGUAAAGGCGGCGACGCCAAAGUCGACCUGUACUAAUAGCCCGAAGGUUUCUUCGC